rnacentral:rRNA from 1 species
AAUCAACGCUGGCGGCGUGCCUCAGACAUGCAAGUCGAACGCGAAAGUCCCCUUCGGGGGACAAGUAGAGUGGCGCACGGGUGAGUAACACGUAGGUAAUCUACCUUCGGGUGGGGAAUAACAACCGGAAACGGUUGCUAAUACCGCAUAAUGCAGCGGCACCUAAUGGUGACAGUUGUUAAAGCGGGGGAUCGCAAGAUCUCGCGCCUGAAGAGGAGCCUGCGGCGGAUUAGCUAGNGGUAGGGUAAUGGCCUACCAAGGCGACGAUCCGUAGCCGGCCUGAGAGGGGCGGUCGGCCACACUGACACUGACAUACGGGUCAGACUCCUACGGGAGGCAGCAGUCGGGAA